rnacentral:rRNA from 1 species
UACGAAGGGGGCUAGCGUUGCUCGGAAUCACUGGGCGUAAAGCGCACGUAGGCGGAUAUUUAAGUCAGGGGUGAAAUCCCGCAGCUCAACUGCGGAACUGCCUUUGAUACUGGGUAUCUUGAGUAUGGAAGAGGUUAGUGGAAUUGCGAGUGUAGAGGUGAAAUUCGUAGAUAUUCGCAGGAACACCAGUGGCGAAGGCGGCUAUCUGGACCGACAUUGACGCUGAGGCGCGAAAGCGUGGGGAGCAAACAGG